ensembl:lncRNA
GGCUGUAUUGAUGGCAAGUCCUUGGGGAGGUCUCUGAGGCGAGGCAAGGAGACCACAGCUCUGGAGAGGUCAGAGAGCACAGGACCAGGGCAGGGCGAGGAGUUAGGGUUGCUAUUAGCUUGGUCACUUUCUUGCCAGUUUACUUAAGUGCAAAAUUGUGCAACUCAAAAGCAGUAACUGAUUUACUCAACCUCACUGAGCGCGGUGGACUUGUCCAACUUGAGCGCUCUGCACGGAAUUGUUCAUCUCCCCUCUCUGCAGCCGGACUUCCGGUCUAGGUAUUGAUUCAGACUUCCUGCUUCACAUGUGCCUUUACGUCAGCUGGGGCCGCUCAGUAGGGCCAGACACAGUGACGGGCUGAGAAAUUUCUUGCUAGCCUCUGCCUUGUAGGCUACUGUGUGGGCUUUGUGGAACCUUCUCGUCUAAGCUGUGUGUUCAUUGGACAGACCCAGUGCAGCACAGGAUACUUACCAGCUGUAGCAGGCAGGCCUGCUGUGCGCCGAGCUGUGUCCCGGGCACAUCCGGUUCAGGGCCCAGAGGCGGGCAGUUCGGGAAGCGUGGACGGCCGCGUGUCUGCUUCGCUGCCUCUUGGAGAGGCCUGACUCGGCGCAGGUGCCGCCAGGAGCAUGGCCCUAGCUGAGACGUUGUCUUCUGAUACCUGGUUGCUUGGCGAUCCAGCGAUGUAUUUCUUGAAGC